rnacentral:rRNA from 1 species
CCUACGGGAGGCAGCAGUGGGGAAUUUUGGACAAUGGGCGCAAGCCUGAUCCAGCAAUGCCGCGUGAGUGAAGAAGGCCUUCGGGUUGUAAAGCUCUUUUGUCAGGGAAGAAACGGCUCCAGCUAAUAUCUGGGGCUAAUGACGGUACCUGAAGAAUAAGCACCGGCUAACUACGUGCCAGCAGCCGCGGUAAUACGUAGGGUGCAAGCGUUAAUCGGAAUUACUGGGCGUAAAGCGUGCGCAGGCGGUUUUGUAAGUCUGUCGUGAAAGCCCCGGGCUCAACCUGGGAAUUGCGAUGGAGACUGCAAGGCUUGAAUCUGGCAGAGGGGGGUAGAAUUCCACGUGUAGCAGUGAAAUGCGUAGAGAUGUGGAGGAACACCGAUGGCGAAGGCAGCCCCCUGGGUCAAGAUUGACGCUCAUGCACGAAAGCGUGGGGAGCAAACAGGAUUAGAUACCCUGGUAGUCCACGCCCUAAACGAUGUCUACUAGUUGUCGGUUUUAAUUACUUGGUAACGNAGCUACGCGUGAAGUAGACCGCCGUCGGGGAGGUACGGUCGCGAGAAGUUAAAACGUUAAAAGUUAGUAAGUUAGUACGGCGUGAGACGUAGCCGACGGACGACGACGAGGGAGGAGG